GUUUCACUUCUGUUUCAAAACCCCACGACAGCCGCUUUUCCUUAAGUGAAUUUUUCCUUUGGAAUGAAAUCUUUUAUCUUUGCCUUGACUUGUAUAUCAGUAAAUGUUUAGCAGUAUGUUAACUGUUAUCUUCUGUGUACUAAAGCACAAGAUUGUUUAGUAUAAUUAAAUCAUGGGAUGUCUCCUCUGCCCAUCUUAGCGCUGAUAUUCUUUUCAUCUAGGUGAUAAAAGCCAGACAUACAUUAAUCCACAUCAAAUUGUCUCAUGAUAACUUGAAAAAUUACGAGAGAAUGUUAUCUAAUCGUGAAAAUAAGUUAAAUUCCUCCCUUUCCUAUAAAUAAGAGGGGCUUUUUGUUUUUUUUGUUUUUCCUAUUUACAAAGCAGGCAGAAGAUCAGUGAGUAGGGUCAUUUUUCUCUUCCAUUAUGGAACACAUAUGAUAUAUUUAUUGUUUCUAAGAGUUGUUCCUUAGGGCUGAUUUGUCAAAAGGACAGCCUGACCUAUGUCUUCCCUACACAGCCAGCUGAACGUCAAACAAAUGUCUCCUUCAUUCCAAAGACACCACUCUAUUCUAUUUAGGUAGAAGAUGAUGCUGGCUUCAGUUUGCAGCAGGAAAUUGCUUGACUGGAGUACCUUCUGAUGGCAAGCGCAUUUCACAGACAUUUGUAGAGAAGACUCUCCUCUUUGUUUAGUGAUCUGCCUCUUAAAUAAUGCUCUUACUCUGUUGAGGAAGAGAAUGAAUCGCCGUGUGUGUGCUGACUAUCAAACACACAAAUGGAAUAGUAGCGGGGCUUCUGUAACCAAGAGAAGUUUACGAAACAUUUGAUUGUUGAGGGAGUCACAGCAUUUCAGAGAUUGACCUUGAAGUUUUAGAAGAACAAAAAAAGUGAAUUGAUCCACUGGAACAAGUACAAAGCCAGCUUUGGUGCUAAAUGUAAAUUGUUAAAAAUGGUUCGGAAUAACAUCUGCC
rnacentral:lncRNA from 1 species